AUGCAGGCCCGAGGUCCCACUCUCUGGGUGCUGCCGGCUCCCCCCGUGCCUCUGCCUCCGUCCCUGCUGCCCUCCCGCCUGCACACCACUUCCUGCAGCUCCAUUUUCUAUUAUUUUAUUUUAUUUUAUUUUAUUUUCCUGUUCGUUGCCCUGACGUGUUGGUGCGCUUGGCGGGGCCAUCCCCACGUGCCGCCUGCUGCGGGCUGGCAGCAGCCGGGGGCGCUGGUGGAAGAAGCAGGCUGGCUGCUAGGGAGGGAAGCUGGAGCCCCAAAACUCUUGAAAAACAAAAACAAAGCAACAAAAAAAAAAAAGCAGAUGUGCUCGGGUCUGUACGUGCUGAGCCAUGGCGUGAGGCGUUCCCGUGGGACAUCCCCAUAUGAGGCUGCUGGGGACGGCGGCGCCGCAGCCCCGAGGGAGGCCGGAGCCUCCCGCCUGCGUCUCCAUCCCGCUGCUGCUUCACCCUGGAGGUGCUGUGGGUGUUUCUCUGUCCUCUGUCCGUCGGUCCCCGUGCCAGCAUGCUGCUCAAAUAGCACGCUGCCAGCAGCCCGUGUGCCCGGGGUGCCGGCUGGGGGUCCUGGGGGACCCGGCAGCGGGCGAGGGGCUGGCGGUGCCAGCGGGCAUGGGGAGAUGGGGGCUGUGGUGGGGGGAUGGAGGCUGUGGUGGAGGGCACAGCCUGUUUGGGGACAGGGUAAGGGGCUUAAGGAGUCCCAGAGCCAGGGCUGUGAAAUUCAGGCUGUGUGUGAGGCCGGCAGCCCCCGCCCUGCCAAGGCCUGGGUGGGUUUUCCCAUAGGAUGCGCAUGCAAUAAGCCCUCGGGGCGCUCGCUUUUAAAUGUACGUGUUUUCCCUUUAACGUAUGUUUUUGUGAGCAGAGCUGCCUCUCCGUGUUUCAUAAUGGCUUAUUCUGCACCCGCAGCAUGGCCAGGGAAAGGUGGUGGCAGUGCAGAGCGGGUGCCCCAGCCCCAAGCCCCACGAGCCACCCUGGGAUGCCCCAGCACCCCCCAUGUCCCCAGGGUGACCGGUGCCAGGCGAGCGCCAAUGCAACGCCCCCCAUGCUCCACGGUGGAGGAGGCAGCGUUUUCCAUUUAG
rnacentral:lncRNA from 1 species